rnacentral:rRNA from 1 species
CGCACGAGCGCACCCUCAUCCUUAGUUGCCAGCAUUUAGUUGGGCACUCUAAGGAAACUGCCGGUGAUAAGCCGGAGGAAGGUGGGGAUGACGUCAAGUCCUCAUGGCCCUUACAAGCUGGGCUACACACGUGCUACAAUGGCGAUGACAGUGAGCAGCUAACCCGCGAGGGCAAGCUAAUCUCUAAAAGUCGUCUCAGUUCGGAUUGUUCUCUGCAACUCGAGAGCAUGAAGGCGGAAUCGCUAGUAAUCGCGGAUCAGCAUGCCGCGGUGAAUACGUUCCCAGGCCUU